UACAGAGGUGCCAAGCGUUAGGCGGAAUCACUGGGCUUAAAGCGUGUGUAGGUGGAUGCCUAAGUACCUUGUGAAAUCCCACGGCUUAACCGUGGAACUGCUGGGUAUACUGGGGUGUCUUGAGCCAACUAGGGGCAGUCGGAACAAACGGUGGAGCGGUGAAAUGCGUAGAUAUCGUUUGGAACGCCAAUGGUGAAAACAGACUGCUGGGGUUGUGCUGACACUGAGACACGAAAGCCAGGGGAGCGAACGGGG
rnacentral:rRNA from 1 species